rnacentral:misc_RNA from 1 species
AGCAGCCGCGGUAAUUCCAGCUCCAAUAGCGUAUAUUAAAGUUGUUGCAGUUAAAAGCUCGUAGUUGAAUUUCGGGGUUAGUACGCUGGUCGUGCCUUCGGUACGUACUGGUGUUACUGAUUCCUACCUUCUGAAGAACCGUCAUGUCAUUAAUUUGGUGUGGCGGGGAAUCAGGACUGUUACUUUGAAAAAUUAGAGUGUUUAAAGCAGGCUCGCGCUUGAAUACAUUAGCAUGGAAUAAUGAAAUAGGACGUUUGAUCCUAUUUUGUUGGUUUCUAGGAUUGACGUAAUGAUUAAUAGGGAUAGUUGGGGGCAUUAGUAUUCAAUUGUCAGAGGUGAAAUUCUUGGAUUUAUUGAAGACUAACUACUGCGAAAGCAUUUGCCAAGGAUGUUUUCAUUAAUCAAGAACGAAAGUUAGGGAUCGAAGACGAUCAGAUACCGUC